rnacentral:lncRNA from 1 species
AUAAAAAUAAGUGGGUGACAAAGAUAACGGAACUCAAUAUUCAAAUAAAAAUUAUACAUAUAAGAGAUAAAAAGAAUCAUUUUACUUAUUAGCUAACUGUGGUAAAAAUUUUUAUUUCAAGGUUAUUUAAAUAAAUUGUAGUAAAAGAAGAAUAUAUUUGAAAACGAGAGUACUUUUGAAAAGAUAAAUUUGAUAAUUUAAAUUUUGAACGAACAUAUUUACUACUUGAUACUUUUGUAGAGAGCCACAUGCAAUUAUCCAUAAGAAAAUUUAUGAGAGAAGUACAAGAUUUAGUUAGCUAAUUCUUUUCUAUUAUCUUACCACGACCUCAUGCACUCCGCGACGACAAAUGACACCUCAGAUUGUCACUUCCCAAAUGCUGAGUUUGAGAGGUUUUAGAUCUCAUAUUAGUUUACAUUUAGAGCUCGAAAUUUCGCAUCUCAGCGUGAGAUCAAAUUUCGAUUUUUUUUUUUCCUGUUUUGGUACGUACGCAACAGCAAUUAAUAAUACAAAUUAUUAUGUUUUGUGAUUGUUGGCGACAUUCUCGACAGGGAUUAACACAAGCAUGGAAUGCGAUUGAAAACGAGAGACGCAGGGGAAAGGAGAGAGCCCUGCAUGCACAAUAUACGGCGUAUGAUUCAUGCAGAGGUGAUCCGCAAUGCAAUUAGCCAUACAUGAUCAUACGGUGGAAUUGAUAGGAAUGUGUGGACCUCGUUCACCAAGUAGGAUGAGGACUCCCCAUGCAAUCUCUCGCACACAUUCCAGUCAAGACAUUUGAUUGGAAGUCCACGGAUGACGUGGUGGACUAGGUCCACUCCUACAAGCUACGUACGUACGUGAGAGUACGUACGCGCUCACGUAUUCGUACGUAGGGGAAAAGCUUCAUGCAUGGUUUCACUUCUUGGACAUGGAGGCUCUCCGGCUAAGCACCGCCCAGUAGAGCACCCGAUAAAGCACGAAGAAGCCCACGAGCACCUGCAACCCCGUCCAUCUCUCCUCCGCCCUGAGGCCCCUGUGCUCCAGCACGUCCCUCCCCUUCACCGCGCACUCCCCGUCGUCCCCCCACCCGAAGCACCUCUCCCCCGCGCAAGCGUACUCGUUCGCGAGCAUGGCGUCCAGGGCGUACUUGUACGGCGACAUGUAGUGCAUGAACACCCAGUACGCGGGCAUGCUCUCCUUCGUGAGGAAGUACCCGGAGAAGAGGAAGAACCCCGCGAGGGACACCGUGACCAGCGAGGUGCCCGCUAUGUAGUCGGGGGCGAAGGAGCUCACGAAGAGGACGAAGGAGUUGGCGGUGAGAACGACGGCCCAGACGAUGAGGACGAAGGUGGCGAACGCGGCGGGGGCGGCGCAGAGGCCGGCGAGGAAGUAGACGGUGGCGGAGUAGAGGAGGGCGACGGCGAGGAGGUAGGGGAGGAAGACGAGGGUGGCGGCGACGACGUGGGAGGAGAGGCGGUAGAGGCCCGAGGAGGCCUCGCGGAUGAGGAUGGGGCGCUCGCACACGAAGAUGGGGAGGGUCUCCGUGGUGGCGGAGAGGAGGAAGGUGAGGGUGAAGGCGAAGAGGCCGAGGCGCUUGCGCGCGCCGUCCUCGCCGUAGCCCGCGUUGAUGUAGAGGGUGCCGAGGAGGAGGCCCACGAGGAGCGCCUCCAGGAAGUUGGUGAGGAGGAGCUGCUUCGUGCGGUACACCACCUUCCACGAGCGGCCGUAGAGGGCCCCGAUCUCGCCGGCGCGGGAGCUCGAGUAGGCCGGGGUCUCCCACGUCGACGACGGCGAGGCCGGUUUGGUCUCCUCCUGCUUGCGGGGGAGGGAGACGGAAGGGGUAGUGGGCUUGGGGUGGGGGAGCUGGUGGAGCAGCUCCAUGGCGUACUCGAGGGGGUUGAGCUGGGCGGGGACGGAGAGGCCGAGGGAGAGGAGGUGGGCGUCGAGGGAGGCGAGGGAGCCGAAGUGGACGACGGAGCCCUUGGAGAGGAGGAGGAGGGAGUCGACGGAGGAGAGGAGGCGGGAGCUGGGCUGGUGGAUGGAGAGGACCACGGCGGCGGCGCGCGCUGCGGCGGCGGCGCGGAGGGUCUGGAGGACGAGGUGGGCGGAGGAGGAGUCGAGCCCCGAGGUGGGCUCGUCGAGGAGGAGCACCCCGGGGUCGCGGAGCAGCGCGAGCCCGAUGGAGACGCGGCGCCGCUCCCCCCCCGAGAGCCCGCCGGAGACGCGGGUGUGGGCGGCGUGGGAGAGGCGGAGGUCGCAGAGGAGGGAGGCGACCGCGUCAGCCGCGGUGGUGGAUUUGUUGCGGGGCGAGAGGAGGGAGGAGGCGAAGGCGAAGGUCUCGGAGACGGUGAGGAGCGGGAGGGAGGAGUCGAGCUGGGGGACGUGGGCGGAGAGCUUGCGGAAGGAGGCGGGGUGGAGGGGGAGGGAGUUGAGGAGGAGGAGGCCGUGGGAGGGGAGGGUGCGGGCCGACAGGAUGUCGAGGAGGGUGGACUUGCCGGCGCCGCUGGGGCCCACCACGGCCAGCACCUCCCCCGGCCGGGCCGUCAGGGACACAUCGCGGAGGAUGUAGUCCGGGGGCGGCGCCGGCCGGCAGCACGGCCUCGUCAGGAGGAACCCGCUCACAGACGGCGCGGCCGGCUUCGCGUAGUAGAUGGAGCACGCCGUCAGUUCGUAGGUUUUACGCGACGGCGGCAGUGACGACGGCGACGACGACAGCGGUGAUUGCGGCGAUGGGGUUUGAUCGUCGUCGGCCAUUAAUUUGAGAGUGGAGUGGUGAUGGUGAUGGUGACGGUAGCGUCGGACUUGGGGAAGGAAAUGGUGGGUUGGAAAGAUGAGGAUGGUGGAAUGGUAGGGUAUUAUAUAUGGAAGGGAGGGAUAAUAUAGGGAGAGAACAUCUAAUUGCAUGGUUUUUAUAAUUGCAUGGUAGGUAUGCGGCAUUCGACACAUGUGGGCUGAAUGAUGAACAAACACGACUAAUUUUAUCAAAUUUUUCAUUAAUAUUAAAUAAAAAUUUUAAAUUCCUGUACGAAUAGUUCUAAUAUUUGCAUCCUACAUUUGAAUAAAGAAGUAACAAUAUUUAAUUUCCGUAAUAAAAUAUUAAAUAAAAUAUUUAUAUAUUCAAACAAAGUGAGGAAAUUUUGUACACGAUAAACGCGCGCCAGUUCUAUAAUCCAUUUUAGUUUGUAAUUCUACAGCUCUUUUAAUAUAUCCCAACGGGCCUUAUUAUUUUUAUUUAGAAAAAAAGUGAAAAAAAGAUUAGUAUAUAAGUACUGGACCACUUGAAAGCAGGUUUAAAUGUUUAAUUAUAAAGAUUACGAUUUUAUUUUGUUACAGACAUUUUUUUUUAACCCAGAAAAUAUGUAGUGAGUGUCUAUUAAUUGGUAAAAGCUCAGUGAUUUACUAACGUAAUAAAGGAACAAGUAAUUGAUUAACGUUGGGGCCAUGGGCGUGUCGCGGAGGACCACUCUACGUGCUCUUCCUUGUCUUAAAACAAAGACCCGAGUCCAUUCUCCCUAUUAGUGGCCACCACCAAAAGCCAUGCAUGAGUAUGAGGCAUGUGAGUGUGAGCCCCGAUCACUACAUUAUAGCCUCCCGUGAGUCCAUCCAUGAAGAGAGAGAGAGAGAGAGAGAGAGAGAAAGAGAGGUCAUAAUUUUUUAAAAAUAUUAUUAUUAUAUUUAUUUUUACAAAAUAUAUAAUUUAAUUAAAAAUAAAUGACAUAGCUUAAGUGUUAUAUACGUAGACUUUUUGCCUUUUUCUGAAGCAACGUACGCGGCGGAGUGGGAGGAGUCACGAGUCCACUGUAGCCGUUGGUCGUUUUAGUAACCCCCCCCUGAAAUGCACGAAAAUUCUUUCGGAGGAGAAGAGUUUCGGGGAAACGUGACUGUGAGGAUGACACGUGGCACCAUUGAUGUUGAUGGAUAUUGACGGCCCAGAGGAGUCACUUUGGUGCGUCUCGGUGUACCGCUGUUGAUUGAUAUGGACAAUAGCUGUUGAAAUGCAUUAGAAAGGCGAUUGUAUUAUAAGCAGGUAAAUUAUGGCCAAAAAUAUGUCAUAUACUUUUAAUAAAACAAUUUUAUUUCAGCUUUAUUUUGCAUAUUAAGAUAUAUGCAUUGGAUGUAUGCACUUCGCUAUGGUUAUUUCGCAUAAAAUUAAUAAUAUUUGAUUUAAUGCUUUCAUUAUAUUACAUAAAAUAAAAAUGUAAAACAUCAUUUUUAAUGUUAAAAUUAUAAUAAUGUCCCUAAUUAGACCUUCUCAAUCUCUCUUGACAUUCUAUGAUUGGUAUGAAACAUUUUUUGUGUUAUAACUGUUAUAAAGGAGAUUAUUAUUUCCUUCAUAUAUAUGUGCCCACUAUUUUUGUGUUCUGAAAAUGUGCGGAGUAAAUGGAAGUUUCAAUGUAUAAGAGGUAUUACAAUUGAUGAGAUAAAUAAAUAGAUACAGGUAAAGCUGAAGUCGAUAUUAACAAAUAGAUACAUAAGAUGCGAUCGCAAUUAAUUAAUUGACUAGAUUUGGCCAUAUUCUCUUUGAGAAAUAGGUAGCACGCUACCCGCUUCGUUUAUUUCAUUUAGAAAUAAACUUAGCUGGAAAUGUGAAUCAACUAGGAUUCGAACUUGGGUCUCGGAUACCAACCAUCAAGCACUUUGCCAUUUGCUCUAGGGACGGUCGGUAGAUUUGGCCAUAUUCAGUAAAACUAAUCUACUGCUUUAUGCACCACGCAUGAAUGCAUGAUUGGGCUUCUCAUCUUUUGUCUGAUACUUCGCAUACUGCAACCCAAUUUUAAAAUGUAUAAAAAAAGUAUUGGAACUUCAUGGAUGAUGGAGUUUUUUUUUUUUUUUUUUUUACAGAAAAAUAACAUGUUAUAUGUUUCGUUUAUUUUUUUUAGAAGUAAAUUUAACUAAAAAUAUGAAGUAACUAAGUUUCGAACUUGGGAACUCAGGUACUAGAGUUAAAACACCAAAAAUGAUGGGGAAAUAGAUGCUAUAAUGUCUAAAAAUAGGGAGGCAUUGGAUGUGGAUAAUCAUUUUUUCCUUUAAUAAAAAACAAAGGUAAACGUAAAGUGAAACAUUUUAAAAAAGUCUGAAUGUUAAAAUAUUGAGGUCGAUUUCAGUUGAAAAUUCAACACUCCAGUUUAUCCAAAUAAUUUUGAUAACAGGCCUCAAUCACCCUCUGGGCUCUAAGUUUAGGCCCAAAAACUGUGGGUGCAGGACGCGGGCUUAGCAGCUAAAAGUGUGGACCAAGUGCCGGACGCGGGUUUUCAGAAGAAGUUGGGUGAUUAGAUAUAGUAAUCAUAAAUAAAGUGUAACUAAAGUAAUCAAAAAUAAAGUGGCAAAAGGGUUUAGUGGUUGGUACCGAGACCCAAGUUCGAAUCCUACUUGAUUCGCAUUUCCAGCUAAGCUUAUUUCUAAAUGAAAUAAACGAAGCGGAUAGCAUACUAAUCCGACUGUCCCUUGCGUAUUUAACUAUUGGCUAGAUGAUUGAUAUUGAAAAUUUCAAAUUCGAAAGCUAAUUACUUUUCAUUUAUAGCCGAGUUCAUUUUCUGAAAAAUUCUUAUAAUAAAAAAAAUGCUGAAAUCUAAAAUACUCUUCAUCUCACCUCAACCUAUUUUUACUAAUUAAACCAAUUCUUGCUUUGUCAUGCCUUUCACAUGACUACACGUACCCAGAUGAAUUAUUUAUUUAUUUUUCACUGUAUUCUAACUUCUCUNNNNNNNNNNNNNNNNNNNNNNNNNCGUUUAUCAUCUGUAACAGGAAUGUUGUUGACAACGGUAACAAUCAAAGAAAGGGUUCAAGGUCGUUUUCGUUGUUUUAAGGGGAGGUGUAUUUACGUUAUAUAUAAUUACGUUAUAUAAUCGCAAUGUUUAUAAAUAUCAAACAAAAACAGGACGAAAACAAUCUCCCGUUUCAGGUUUAAUUUCUCGAGGUGCAUUUUCAUUUUCCACGUACAUACUGAUUAAUAACUCCUGUUGUAAAGAGGGACAAAGAAAAAGAAAUUAAAACAGGAGUAGUUAGGCACCUUUUACGCCUCGUGGUUUUGUUUACUUACCACGCAGGAAAGAGGUGGAUUGUAGUUAAUUGUCCCUAAAACUGAGCUAGUACUGAUUCCUACUAUCUGGGCUAAUCGGUUGGCAAUUGCCUAGCCCAAUAUUAUCUUCAUAUCAAUUCUUUGAACAUUCAGUUAUAUUUGUUUCGUCUAUCUCACGAUAGAUAAAGAGUUUUUUUUUUUUUUUUCUUAGGUUAAGGAGACUAUUCGUCCAGUCGAGAGCCUUACCUUUACGGUAGAACAACUCAUUUACCUAUUAGGUUAUGUUAGACGUACUGAUUUACCCCUACUUUUACCUAACCUAUAAUAGGUUAGGCUCAAUGUUAAAAAAAACCCCAUACCUUCUUCGAAUCUCAUGAGUAAAAAAAGGUCUAAGUGUAUAUCGAAUAGAUUUAGACAACUUAUAUUUUAAUAUAUUUGUGGUAAGAGAAGAUCGUAUAAUUAAAGGAAGAUAAAUUAAGUUCGGGUGCAGUACCCGGACGAUUUUUUCAGAGCUCGAGUUUGCACUCUCACUCACAACUUAUAUUUUAAUAUAUUUAUAGCAAAAGAUUGUCUAAUUUGAAAAUCUCAUGUUGCCAACAAAAUAUUUUAGGUUUUAACCAAAUUAUAUUCCUAAAAAAAACGUAAAUCGGGGAUCAUUUAAAAAUAAAAUUUUUAUCGGGAUAGUUUUAAAUUAAACGUUUUUACCGGGACGUGGACGGUGCGUUCGCGGUGCAGUCGCGGUGCGCCCGACCCGUACCCGGUCACAUAAUUCAAUUUGUGCCACUUGGUAAGUGGCACAAGUUUGUGCCACUUACCAAGUGGCACAAAUCAUGCAUAAAAAAGGAACUUCUUAUCUCUCAAUCCUUACAAUUACCCCAUACCUAUAGGUUUUAUAAUAAGCUUGGAUUUGGGCUUAUUUAAUACAUAUAUUUUAUUAAAUAAGCUUAAAUCCAAGCUUAUUAUAAAACUUAUAAGUAUGGGGUAAUUGUAAGGAUUGAGGGAUAAGGGGAUGUUUUUUAUGCAUGAUUUGUGCCACUUACUAAGUGGCACAAAUUGAAUUGAUGGCGGGAGUCGGGGCGGGCGCACCGCGACUGCACCGCGAACGCACCGUCCUCAUCCCGGUAAAAACGUUUAAUUUAAAACUAUCCUGAUGAAAAUUUUAUUUUUAAGAAGUCCCCCGAUUUACGUUUUUUUCGGGAAUUAUAUUACAAUUACAUAUGUUGUAAGCGUAACUCAGGUAUAAACUAUAAUAAAAACAAUAAAAAAAUAUACAAAAUUUUUAGAAUAUAUUUAUACUUAAUCGUUUAGAAAAAAGCAAAAAUCAAGAUAUAUAAAUGAUUUAUAAACUAAUAUAAUUAUAGUAAAUUAUAGGCUAGAUAUAGAAGAAAAAAAAUGGCUUAUAUUUAAACUUAAAGUCAUUAGCUGAUUAUAGAAUUAAACUUGGGCUUAGGCUGUAUUUUUAUAUCUAUACCUAUAUAUUACCCGUAAUAGACUAGUAUAUAUUAAACGAGAGUUGGGUUUUGGAUUCGGAUUUGAAGUUGAUGAAUUUAUACAGAUUCUUAGUAGAAUUAUAUAGUAGUAAUCUAACCUAGUGUUUUUUGAGAUUGUUAAAGCUGGUUGGUUUAUUUUGGGGUUUAUUACGGGUUGGUGUAUUUGGUGGUUAGGUAAUCCCACACAUAUAUAUAUAUAUAUAUAUAUAUAUAUAUAGCCUUUCAUGUUGUAAAUAACUAUCAACAAAGGGAACUGAGUCUAGUUUUGUAGUUCUAAUCCAAAUUAGUAAUGAAGUCCUACAAAAUUGGAGACAUUAUAGAUUUUUUUUUUUUGUCACAAAUCACUAUCUAGCAUGCUGAAAUAUUUUGUUUUCUACAUUUUUGCUUCUGAUCCAAAUUAAGUAAAAGAGCUAAUGCUUGCAAGAUUGCAUCUUUGGAAUAUUAAUUUUGUUAAACAAUGAUCUUGAUGCUCACUUUCAUGAACUUGAGGAUUGGGGAAUGGUUACUGUACUUUCUGCAACGACCCGACCCGCUAGCAACAAUAACUCGUUGGGCCCAACCACCAACAAAAUGGUUACGCCCAGUUAUUAUUACUAGCGUGCGAGGCCUUAUAUAAAGGGAUUGACUCUUACGGGUUCCUACGGGUUUUCAAGAGGUGGCUCUCACUAAAUUCGUUGGUGUAGCACUUUGUCCCGCAUAACACUUAGCUGGUAUUCAUCUCUGAUUCCAAUUGCAACGAUCCGACCCGCUACAAAUAAUAACUCGUUGGGCCCAAACCACCGGCCCCAAAAUACUCAAGCCCGGUUAUUAUUAUUAGCGUGCGAGAUCUCAUAUAAACUGAUCGGAAUCAGUAUCCCAUUCGAUGUGGGACUAUUGAGGUGUUACACUUUCAUAAGCGAAUGAGUUCUGAGAUCGAACUAGUAUUGGGUAGUGCCUUGCGACGAUACAUGGGACCUCUCGCCUGUAUUGAGAUGGUCUAGUUUACUCUAUAUCACAUGCGGCGCUUGAAUUUUAUGGUAACAUAGACAAUACUUUAGAUUGCCUCACUGUGUGGGAUGGUCCAACCAUCGCCGCAUUGAGAUGCUCUAAUUUACUCUUUAUAACGCACGACAUUCAAAUUUUGUAGCAAUACGAAUGGUGAAUUAGAUUGUCACAGAGGGGGGUUUUGUUGGACAUCUAUUUUUGACUAUAAAUGGACCAAAUACAAGUACAAGAAAGGUUGUUGACGACAGAAGGGCCCAGUUGUUAAUUACUUGUUUGCUUCAUUUUUUACAGGCCUACAGCCCACUAUAAAUAACAAAUUGGCCCAGAGAGGAAUUAAGUGUACAAAUUUUAUAAUUUUUUAUACAUAGAUCAUUUGAUUUUUUUGUAUAACAUGCCCAAUAAAUCAAAUCACAACUUUAAGAUCUUUAUGGUCGAAUUUUAAGAGUGCGGUGCACGGUCAUUCUGAUGUUCUCCUUAGCAUGGCUCGAGAGGCGCAAGCCUAAACUCCAACUUCUCUCCCUCAAUGCGGUCGAGAGGACUCUUGGAAGAACAUUUCUCACCUUUUCACUGCUAAUGGAACAAUGAGUUAUGGUUAAAGAAACUAACCGCACUUCUUUAAUUUUAUAUCCAAGCCAUGCACUGCUACGAUUCGGAUCAGAUCAAGAAAUGCGAAAUCCAGCAAUUAUCUAUAUCAUUUUAUAAAGAUAUCCGUUAUAACUAAUUAAAGAUACUCGGAGAAGUAUAAGUUUCAAAAUUCAAAUUUUGGGGCGAGAAACCCAGUUCAUAAUUGCUGCUUCUUGCUACAGCCGAUUAGACGAGAAUUAAAGUGUAAUAUUACCCUCUUCCUUUGAGUUAUUCGCAUAUCCUUUAAUAUUUUAGGGUUGCUUUUUUUUUUUUUUUUGCCAUUGUAUAUUUGUAUGAGCAGAGAGAUUGUAGCAGGUUGGUAGAGCACAGAAGCAUGUGCAGGUAUCGGAAGGCCUCACAUGCGCGCAUGCACCAAUUAGUCCCUUAUUUCUGUAGCAUCUCCUUUACUCUUAAUAUCAUCUCUUAAUUUCUAAUAUUUUUAUUGCAUUAAUUACUCAUCUAUCCAUAAACUUUUGUUUAGGAGUCAAAGAUCCCACAUGUUACAGUGAUUAAUAAAUUUGUGGCAGCACGUAGACAAGACAACGCAGAGUGGAAAGAUACAUAGGAAUGCAUUAAUAUGUGAUCACCUUUAUCUAUUACUUUAAUAUUAUAUAUAUAUAUAUAUAUAUAUAUAUAUAUAUUUGAGUUUAAAGAUCCUUCCNNNNNNNNNNNNNNNNNNNNNNNNNACCAGAGAGAGAUAUUUCCGUGUGGCGUUUGUGAAAGCGGAAACAAGGGGCGGACAAAAAGCAUCCCAAUCCAGUAAACAGGAGUGGGUCCCACGAAGAAUUUUGUGCCAACAGUGAUAAAUGCGGUGGAAUACAUGCGUGUUGUAUAUAUAUAUAUAUAUAUAUAUAUAUAUAUAUAUAUAUAUAUAUAUGUCUCUAAUUAAAUGUUCUAUUUAAUUUUAAACGCUGCAUGUGAGGGACAACCAUGAAAUUCAGUAAUUCUUUUACUAACUUUAAUUCAUAUUAAUUAAUCGUGCUUAAUUACGAGGCACCCAAUGCAUUUUUAUGUGCAGGAUACUAAUUAAGUCCCAGGCUUUUUCAAUUAAACCUAUAUAUUCAUUCAUACAUAAUAUAGAGUCGUCUUAAUACUCUCAACACUCUACGUAUAAUUAGUAUCCAUUCGGUCUUAAUCCAAUUGCAUUUUAUUUUUUUACUUUUAUAUAUUUAUGUAUUUAUAUUUUUUUCAUGUAACUUUUGAUUCAUUUCGAGGGUCCCGCUACCGUCAACAUUUAUAUUAAAUUUAUUUUUCAAAUAAAUGAAACAAGUAGUGUGCUAUCUUUAUCUAAAAAAAAAUUCAUUACUGUGCAUGUGAGUAGAAACAUAAUUUUAUAUAUACUAGUCAGUGCACGUGCGUUGCACGUAUAGAUUUUUCUAAAUAUAAUUAAAUAAAUUAAUAAAUUAGUGAAUAAAUAAUAUUAUAUUUAAAUUGUAAUGUCAGAAUUAAAAAUUAUAAAAUAUUACAAACUAAAAAAAUACUGGAUAGAAAAUAUAGUAAAAUAAAAACAUAAAUUGAACAUACCAUACAUGAAAAUAGUUUAGAUUAAAAUGAAAGUAAUAAAAGAAGAUUUAAAUUCAUUUUAAUUUUAAUUGUCUUAGUUGUCGUCAUCCGAUGAUCUUUUUUUUUUUUUUGAAAGCAAAAAACUUGACUCGUGAUAUUCAUCACUGAUGCUUCGUCAUCGUCUUCAAGAAUUUUUCGAUGAUUAAAUUAGAGAAAAAAAAAUCCUUCCUUAUUGAUUCAAAUUUAUAUUUUUUUAUUUUGCUAUAUUUUCUAUAUAUAAUACUUAUGUGUAUUUUGUUUAUAGUUUGUAAUAUUUUAUAUGGGUACCUCUCAAUUGAGUUAUGAAAUUUUGUUAGAAAAGAAAAAACAACUAUUAGUUGAACAAAUAAAACUUUCGAUUGUAUUCCUAGAAAUAUCAACGGUCAGGAUGUAACCAUUUGUUGUUAUCACAAAAUAAAUGUCAAGUACUAAAGCAAAAGUUUUAUUAAAAUAACAAGAUAAAAGUGAUAAUUAAUUAAGGCUAAAUUACAGAAAAUUUUCUGUCAAAAUUCGAUUUUUCACAUUCCCCCUUUGUCAUUUAAAAACUUACACUUUGCUCUCUUGUAAAAUGAAAAAUGUUCACUUCACUCCCUGCUGUUAGUGAUCCGUUAGGGUUCCGUUUAUAAAAUAUUAUUAUAUAUUUUUUAUACCAAAAAUGUCCUCAGCUUUCUCUCCUGUUGACAAAAAUGAUGAGAGGCAAAAUGGUCAUUUUGUCAUCACAGUUUAUACCGUACCUCCUAUGACUAUUUUUUAUUUUACAAGGGGGCAAAGUAUAAGUUUUUAAAUGACAGGGGAAAAAAAUAAAAAAUCGAAUUUUGACAAGAAAGUUUUAUGUAAUUUAGCCAUUAAUUAAUUUUUUAUAUCAUAUUUUAGAGAAGAUAAUUAAUUUACAAAGUGAAAGCAAGUUAUUAUGCAACUAAUUCAUCAAAUCAUCGAAAAAUAUGAAAGUAAAUUAAAAAGAUUACUACAAGUACCAAUUUUAUCGUAUACAACUCACUCAAAUAUAAGUAAAUAAUCAAUUUUAAAAAAAAUUCAAAAAAAUACAUAUUAACAAAAAAAUUUUAAAAAAAUAAUUUUAUAAAACUAACUGUUCAGUAAGUGUAUGAAGACCAAUUAAAUAAAUAUCACUAAAUUGAUUAAAAUUCACAUAAUAUUCAGGAUAUUUUCUUCUAAUGUAUACUUUUUUAUUCAACCUUUUUAUUUUUUUAAGAAACCUCUUUCUUUUUUGGACAAAAUAUAUCUCCUCAUCUUCUUCGUUUCUUGGAGAAAUCUCUUCGUUUUUUAGAAAAGAUACAUUUUCGUCAAAACUCUUAACUCUUCAUUUCUUGGAGAAACUUUUUUGUAUCUUGGAGAAGAUACAUCUCGAUCCUUCACACCACAUUUAUCGUAUGCUAAGACGAUGAAGAAAUCAAAUAUUAAAUUUUUUAUUUCUUUAUUAAUUGAAAAAAUUCUAAUAUUUUUGUUUGUAGAAGAAAAUAUUUAAAUCUCCAUUUCUCCGAUGCUUUAAAGAUAAAAGGAUUGCACAUAAUUUUUUUCUUUCUCUACUAAUUGAAGAAACUAUAAACUAUUCAUUUCUAUGAGCACAUAUAUUUCUUGGGCACCACCUUCCUUAAUGUACAGAAGAAUAAAGUUCGUUGAACCAUCUAUAUAAAGCACAAUCAUUCUAAUUGAUAAAUUUAAAAUUACAAUUUAAACCUCUAUAAUAUGUGCUAUUAGAAAAAAACUAUUUAUAAAAAUUAUAUUUUUUUAAAAAUUAUUUUAAAAUUUAAAAUUAAAUAUAAACUAUUUACUAUUUUUUUUAAUAUUGGCUUAUAAAGAAUAUCAUACACAAGAUGAAUACUCUUUUCAAUAAAUCAUUUACUUCCUAUCAAUAAUAGAGGAUGGAAAAUGCCCACAACAUCAACCAUGAGCUAAUAAACUUUAUCUAUUAGAAUUUAAAUUUAAAUCCAAACAAUCAAACAAAUUAUGUUUAUCUAUUUUGUGAUUUUGCAUUUUAAAUUUUACAUCACUGAUUUUUAAAGGUUAACUCUGGUACACUACAUUUUUGUUUGUAGCUUCCUCAUCGAAAUUCGCACUGUAAUUUAUGAGUUUAUUGGAAUAAAAUCACAAUUAUAUUUUGUAUACAAGAGAAGGAAAAAUGUAUUUAAAUUUAAGUCCAAACAAUUCAAAAAAAUUAUAUUUAUCUAUUAUAUGAUUUCACAUAUUUAAACUUUGCUUUAUUAAUUUUCAGAAAUGAACUCUACUACACUAUAUUUUUUUUCUCCUUCAUGAUCAAAUUUGUCUUUUAAUUUAAAUUUUUUUGGUAUAAAAGUAAAAUUAAAGGUUAUAGUUUUAACCUUAAGACACUAAUUGAAGUUUAGUGUUUUGUAAAAUUUUAUAAAUAUCUAAUUUAAUAUAAUUUUCUACAUUAUUGUUGACGCCGGAACUUAGAGGGGACGCGGAGAUAGGACCAAUAUAACACGAUAAAUACUCGACCCGGCGUAGAAUCCAUCACGUCGAACUCGAGCACACUCACCGCUAUGCGGAAUCCACCAACACAAUGGUUGAACAACACUCUUCUCUCACAGAAAAUCUACCUAAGAGAUAGGAGGAAGAAGAAAUCCUUAUUCUCAAAUGAAAGUAGAAACUUCAACUCAACUUAACUUGCUUUUCAUCAUAAAAUCAUUACAUAUUUAUAGCCUCUCAAAUGAUCCUUCAUCUUCUCUAUACAUUAAUGCACUCUUUAAUUUCAUAGAGAAACUAAAAGACACUUUUAGAAAUACUAAAAGACACACACAAUUCUAGACUAUCAUAACUCAUUUUAAGAAAACGAAAAGACGAUUAUAGAAAAACGAAGGGACACGCUUAUUUCAAAACGAACAUUUAUUAAGUGAUUAAUGACUUCAUCCAUCAACUUGAGGAACGGUGUCAAUUGUGAUUUAUAAUUUAAUUAUACAACAUUGUAAUGAAUAUCUAGAUCGAUAGUAAUUAGAUGACUUUAUUUUUUUUAUUUUCUAAAUAAAUAUAUUUUGUUUGGAAAAAGAAAACUCCAAACAAUUCAACAAAUAAUAUUAUCUGUUUUAAGAUUUUGCAUAUUUAAACUUUGUUUUAAUAGUUUUAAGAAAUUAACUCUACUACACUAUAUUUUUUUCACCUUCAUCAUCAUAAUUCGUCAUUUAAUUUAAAACUUUCUUGGUACCAAAGUGUAAAUGAAGGUUAUAUAUAGUUAAGACACUAAUUGAAGUUCAGUUUUUUGUAAAAUUUUAAAUAUUUUUUAAAAUGAUAUAGAAAAUUUAAAUUAAAAAUAAGAAUUGCUCUAAUUUAAAAUAAUUUUCAACAUUAUAAUUAUUUAUAAGUUAAUUAUAUAACAUUAUAAUUAAUAUCUAGAUAAUAAUUAGUUGACUAUAAGUUUUUUAAAAUUUUGCGAAUAAAUGAAUUUUGUUAUGAAAAGAGAAAAAGUACUGCUUUUUCUUUAAAAAAUUUGAAAAAUUUUGUUAU